rnacentral:rRNA from 1 species
UACAGAGGGGGCAAGCGUUAUUCGGAAUUAUUGGGCGUAAAGGGCGCGUAGGCGGCUUGGCAAGUGGAAGGUGAAAUCCCUCGGCUUAACCGAGGAACUGCCCUCCAAACUGCUUCGCUUGAGACCGGGAGAGGUGAGUGGAAUUCCCAGUGUAGCGGUGAAAUGCGUAGAUAUUGGGAGGAACACCAGUGGCGAAGGCGGCUCACUGGACCGGUACUGACGCUGAUGCGCGAAAGCUAGGGGAGCAAACAGG